rnacentral:lncRNA from 1 species
UAACUAGCAAAGAGACCUUGUUUCAACAUCAAAUAUGUUUCCGUAAGGCCAGAUUCUUGGGCAAAGUUGUUUUAGCGAUCUGGUUGCAACUAAGGUAUCCUGUAAGAACAAAUUGCUGCCUCCUCCAGGUGGAAAGGGAUCAAAUAUAAUUAAUCUGUGUGUGCCACACAGUAGCUUGAUAGUUUAAUUGAGGAAUGUUGACAUAUUGAGAGCUCAGCAUUACUUUCUGCUAUCAGCAGUGACGAAGCCAGUGCCUGGGAUUCUGAGAUGCAGCCACAUCAUAAAGUUUCAUUACUCAAUUGCAGUAGAGAAAACCUCAAAGGAACCACUUCUAAUGGAAACUGCCUCAAUUCCUGGUCAAGUCUCACAGUCUAACCUGGAGGUGCUCUGAGAUGUGACUAAGUUAAGGAUUUUGAGAUGAAGAGACCAUCCUGAAUUAUCUGAGUGGGUCCUGAAUGUCAUCACAAGAAGCCUUAGAAGAGAGAAGCAUGAAAACCAGAAGAGGAGGAAGAGGCAACCGGGCCAUGAAGACAAGAGAUUAGAGUGAUGUGGCCACAAGUCAAGAAGUGCCGGCCUCCAGCAAAAAACUGGAAGUCAGGAGCAGGAUCUCUCCUAGAGCCUGUGGAGGGAAUGUAACCCUGCCAAUAACUUGAUUUUGGCCCAGAGAAACUGACUUCAGACUUCUGGCCUUCAGGAUGGCGAGAGAAUUAAAUCGCUGUUGUUUUUAGCCCAGUAUGUGGUAAUUUUGUUACAACAGCCACAGAAAACUAGUACAGUGGAUUUUUAGCAGUAGAAUUAAAUUAGCAGUGGAUUAAAGAGCAGUAGAAUUGUGAUUUUAUCAACACUUACUGGAUGGCAGAUUUCCUCUGCAGCAGAAGAGAAUAAAAUGUUGCCUAGGUGAUGCUGACCACCAAAACUUCUGCCAUGGACUCAGCAGUGUGAACAGACCCUGGGAAUCUAUGUACACAUAAAACACCAUGAACAUUUUGCAUUUUCUGAUUUGAACUGAAUAGGCG